rnacentral:pre_miRNA from 1 species
ACAGUUCUAGGGCCUGAUUUUAAGCCCACUGGAGUCAAUGAGAGUAUUUCCAUUGACUCCAGUGAGCUUUGGAUCAGGCCCUUAAUGU